rnacentral:rRNA from 1 species
UUAAAAGGAAUUGACGGGGGCCCGCACAAGCGGUGGAGCAUGUGGUUUAAUUCGAUGCAACGCGAAGAACCUUACCAGGUCUUGACAUCCAACGAAUCCUUCUGAAAGGAAGGAGUGCCUUCGGGAGCGUUGAGACAGGUGGUGCAUGGUUGUCGUCAGCUCGUGUCGUGAGAUGUUGGGUUAAGUCCCGCAACGAGCGCAACCCCUGUGGUUAGUUGCCAGCAAGUAGCGUUGGGCACUCUAGCCAGACUGCCGGUGAUAAAUCGGAGAAAGGUGGGGACGACGUCAAAUCAUCAUGCCCUUUAUGUCCUGGGCUACACACGUACUACAAUGGCCGUUACAACGGGAAGCGAAGGAGCAAUCCGGAGCAAAUCCCUUAAAGGCGGUCCCAGUUCAGAUUGUGGGCUGAAACUCGCCCACAUGAAGGCGGAAUUGCUAGUAAUUGCAGAUCAGCAUGCUGCAGUGAAUACGUUCCCGGGCCUU